rnacentral:rRNA from 1 species
UGAGCAAUCUGCCCUUCACAUCGGAAUAACCAUUGGAAACGAUGGCUAAUACCGAAUAUGACUUCGGAUCGCAUGAUCUGAAGUGGAAAGCUCCGGCGGUGAAGGAUGAGCUCGCGGCCUAUCAGCUUGUUGGUGAGGUAAUAGCUCACCAGGCGACGGACGGGUAGCCGGCCUGAGGAGGGUCGACCGGCCACACGUGGGGCUGAGACACCGGCCCAGACCUCCG